rnacentral:rRNA from 1 species
GAUGAACGCUGGCGGCGUGCCUAAUACAUGCAAGUCGAGCGAACAGACGAGGAGCUUGCUCCUCUGACGUUAGCGGCGGACGGGUGAGUAACACGUGGAUAACCUACCUAUAAGACUGGGAUAACUUCGGGAAACCGGAGCUAAUACCGGAUAAUAUAUUGAACCGCAUGGUUCAAUAGUGAAAGACGGUUUUGCUGUCACUUAUAGAUGGGUCCGCGCCGCAUUAGCUAGUUGGUAAGGUAACGGCUUACCAAGGCAACGAUGCGUAGCCGACCUGAGAGGGGGAUCGGCCACACUGGAACUGAGACACGGUCCAGACUCCUACGGGAGGCAGCAGUAGGGAAUCUUCCGCAAUGGGCGAAAGCCUGACGGAGCAACGCCGCGUGAGUGAUGAAGGUCUUCGGAUCGUAAAACUCUGUUAUUAGGGAAGAACAAAUGUGUAAGUAACUAUGCACGUCUUGACGGUACCUAAUCAGAAAGCCACGGCUAACUACGUG